AAAAUAUGUAAAUAAAUAUAAAAGCACAUGUAUGCUUGCACACAUAAAGUGAAAACAAUUUGAUAAAACAAAUGGAGAAAAAUUAGGCAAUUACUAAUCUUGCAAUCUUAAAUUACCACCAACUAUUUUACCUAGGACUAAGGAGUUUUGCCGAACUGAAACUCUGCUCACUUCAACCAGCAAAGCCUCAGGCAAACCAGGGCAAGUGGUUGCCUUGCACUCACCUUUUCUGGAGUACCCAGAACAGAGGGAUUUCCUUGUUUUGUUUAAAUGAGGAAGAUCUGUAGGAGAAACAUGGCUUUGGACAUCAAAGGAAGAGAGCUCCAUGUCUGUUCCCAGGAACCCCAUGUGCUCUGCUUACUUUCUUUGCCUCAUUCAUCCUGCCAUGAAGUGCUAUCAACAGGCUGAGAAGAACAGAUGUGGAAAACAAAAAUAAAUCUGACUUGAUAGUGUAAUGGGGGUCAUAUGAAUACAAAGUAUAGACAAAAGUA
rnacentral:lncRNA from 1 species